rnacentral:rRNA from 1 species
AAACUUUCAACAACGGAUCUCUUGGUUCCGGCAUCUAUGAAGAACGCAGCGAAAUGCGAUAACUAAUGUGAAUUGCAGAAUUCAGUGAAUCAUCGAGUCUUUGAACGCACAUUGCGCCCUCUGGUAUUCCGGAGGGCAUGCCUGUCCGAGCGUCAUU